rnacentral:rRNA from 1 species
UGACACUGAACAUUGAGCCUUGAUGUGUAGGAUAGGUGGGAGGUUUUGAAGUGUGGACGCCAGUCUGCAUGGAGCCGGCCUUGAAAUACCACCCUUUAAUGUUUGAUGUUCUAACGUUGGCCCCUGACCGGGGUUGCGGACAGUGUCUGGUGGGUAGUUUGACUGGGGCGGUCUCCUCCUAAAGAGUAACGGAGGAGCACGAAGGUUGGCUAAUCCUGGUCGGACAUCAGGAGGUUAGUGCAAUGGCAUAAGCCA